GAAUGAUUUAUUCAGCUUUUUUCCAAAGGCGCGGCUACCUUAUCAUUAUACAUAGAGCCAUCCAUAGUUACAAAAAAACCUUCCUUGUCAGCAAC
rnacentral:lncRNA from 1 species